UAUUUCCUAUUUCCUAUUCAGAUCUUCCUCUUUUCUCAAAUCUGGAAGGGAGCAGCUUGCUACUGUUCAAUCUGCGGAGAAGAUGGGUCUCAAGAGACUAUUCCCUGCUAAUUUGGCGACCUCUCCUGAAUCAGCUUCAGAUGGCACUGUGUGUGAAGAGUGAAUGAUUUCCUGAUCGUUGAUUACCAGAAUUGGACUUGAUUCCCAGCAGCCUUGUAAGAUCUCAUCUGUUGGUGAAUAUUGGUAGCAGUGAUGAAGGGAUGAUUCAACAACAAAAGUUCUGGAGAGAAAAUAGACAUCUCCCUCCUCAUUCAACACCUUCAGUCCUAUGGCCAUAAUCCUCCCAGUUAGAAGGCAUUUGGGGAAAUAAGGAACAUAAUUAGCAUUUACCUAUACAGAAUCACAACUAAGUGAUUGCUUACUA